CUUGUUAAAUUUGACACUAGUCUGGCAUUAUUAGAAGAUAUAAAAACUGUAGUAUAAGUGAAAUAUGGUAACAUCGCUGGAAAUAUCGCUUUCAUUUUUUUAGUUACUCGGUUGAAUGGAUUGCAUGUAUUUCUAGAGCCAAGCGGGAACUUUAACUGGGAUGGUACAUCUGUCAAAAAAUAAGUAUACUAAAACAGCGCAAAGAAAACAGAAACUUCGUAUAGAGCAAAAAAACAAAAGCUGAUUUAAUUUUGAUAUUUGAUACUCACAAAAACUGUAAAAGAACAAUCGAUUCUUUUGGCUUAAACACUUUUCAACAAAAGAUAUCAAAAAGAUUGCCAUAAGAAUAAACUAGCUUUUGGUUAAGAGUUCAUAGCAUUAUACAAUAUCGGCUUUUUCUAUCAUUGCGAAGCAGAAUUUGCCAAGCGUCGGAUUUACCUGAGAAUGUGAGCUGAGUCUAUUAAUGAUUAA
rnacentral:ncRNA from 1 species